UUUUUUUUUUUUUUUUCUUUUUUCCUUUCCCUAUGAUUAAUUGAGAACUGAGAUCAUACCUGCAACUGCAAGGUUGUUGUGCCAUCCAUCAAAGAAACUAGUAAAUAAGUUGAAGAAAUAUGCAGACCAUGUCAAAGGGUCUUAUCAUUCCUAUUAAGAGAGAUUAUGAGGCCUUCUGACCACCUAAUCUGUUUCAAGGUCUAUAUCUUAAGUACUAGUUAAAGAAAGUCCAGUCACAAAUUACGAUAUAACUUGAGAAUUAACUGUAUGUUUGACCAUUUGCAAAUAUUAAGCUGGUGAUUAUAAAGAUCAAAUAACAAUUCCAAAUAUAAAUAUCAAGAAAAGGACAAUUACUGAUAAAGCAGUUAUUCAUGAAUUGCUCCAACCUGAGUUGCACAAUAAAUGAAGUCAGUUUGAUUAACAUUGUGGAAUUUAACUAGCAGUUAGCGUUCCUAUUGAUGACUUAUCGCACUGUAUUAUGGAAGACUGAUUUUCGUACUAAUCAAGAAAACAAGUCUUUUCUGCCAAAUCACAAAAAUAUAUAUAUAUUUUUUUCAUUUAGAUAUAGAGGAAUAAUCUUUUCUUCAUUUUCAUUUAUAAGUAGAACACAAUUAUAGAAGAGGGGAACAAUAGUGUUUCGUUGGAAUAGUUUAGUUAAGAUCAUUGAAAGAAGUUUGGAAUUAAUUGAGCAUGAAACAGUAUAUUCCACAUUGCUUCUACCUGUGCUUUUGAACAGAAGGGCUAAAGCAUCCAACUAAGAACUUUUGACUCAUAAUCUUAGAGGCCUUCUGACCUUCACCAGGUCGGUUUCAAGAUCUAUUCGCUCGGUGCUAGUUCAAUAAAGUCCAGUUACAAACUAUACAAAUCAAUAAUGAAUGUAGAUAUGAAGUCAACAGUAACAAAGAUCAAAUAAUAAUUCUACAAGUAUCAUGAAAAGGAUAAUUUAAAAAAGUCAGUUAUGCCGAAUUAUGCCGUGCCCCAACUUCAAGGUUACGCCAUAAGCAAAGCCAGUUUAAUUAAUAUUAUGGGAAUGUAAUUACUAUUUGGUUUUCC
rnacentral:misc_RNA from 1 species